UGGGUCACAUGAUCAUACAAUCACUUCUGGAAUCAGCAUGAGCAUAUUUAAAAAUAUAUAUAUGUAAAUUUAACCUUUAUUUAACAAGGCAAGUCCGUUAAGAACAAAUUCUUAUUUACAAUAACGGCCUGGAUAGCAUUCCUCCAAUAGAAGUAAGGAACAUGUAGCUUAAUAAGAACCUGGCGUUGUAGCUAAGGGUCUGGCGUUGUAGCUAAGGGUCUGGCGUUGUAGCUAAGGGUCUGGCGUUGUAGCUAAGGGUCUGGCGUUGUAGCUAAGGGUCUGGCGUUGUAGCUAAGGGUCUGGCGUUGUAGCUAAGGGUCUGGCGUUGUAGCUAGGGGUCUGGCGUUGUAGCUAAGGGUCUGGCGUUGUAGCUAAGGGUCUGGCGUUGUAGCUAAGGGUCUGGCGUUGUAGCUAAGGGUCUGGCGUUGUAGCUAAGGGUCUGGCGUUGUAGCUAAGGGUCUGGCGUUGUAGCUAAGGGUCUGGCGUUGUAGCUAGGGGUCUGGCGUUGUAGCUAAGGGUCUGGCGUUGUAGCUAGGGGUCUGGCGUUGUAGCUAAGGGUCUGGCGUUGUAGCUAAGGGUCUGGCGUUGUAGCUAAGGGUCUGGCGUUGUAGCUAGGGGUCUGGCGUUGUAGCUAGGGGUCUGGCGUUGUAGCUAGGGGUCUGGCGUUGUAGCUAAGGGUCUGGCGGUUAGGUCUGGCGGUUAUCGCUAGGGGUCUGGCGGUUAGGUCUGGCGGUUAUAGAUAUACUGAUUAAUAGAAGGCAAGUUAAAAUUCCUGAAAGUCUGUUGUAGACAGUGUAGGAUACCAUAAUUUUCUAUUUCACUUCUCCCUCUUUUUCAGAAGGUAAAGGGCAACAGGGAAUUGCUGGAUUUAAUGCGAAGGCUGAUUCCCACAGUCUUGGCAAGAUAGACUUGCUGGCAUCUCCUUUGGUCCAACCAGCAGACACUCUCAAGGAGACCAGAGUCUAAUCUUAUUUACUACUUAAUUAAGAUUGAAUUUAUUUUAC